rnacentral:tRNA from 1 species
GCGAUAAAAGCAGAAUUAGUUGCGUCGGCCUUGUAAGCCGAAAGAUGAAGGAAUAAUCCUUUUUAUCGCU